AACAUCCUUUUCUAACCACCAACAUGGAAAUUGACCAAUUAAUAGCAACGUCAAUUUCCCUCACUUUCCGAACGAAGGCAUCUUUCCAUGAAUCUGAUGAUCUCGUGUUCUUAGACACCCCAUCAUAGAUUUCCUCUGCAGCAUAAUCAUGAUGGAAAAUCAUUUUCUCGUGAGGUCGCAUUAGCGACAUACGUACAGGUACAUAUUCCACGUCUUAACAAAGAGUUAGUUCAGUAAUACUUGCACCGUAGACAAGCAAGUUGAGUGCAACUUGGGCUUUGGAAGAAAGCGCAUUUUGUUAUCCCGUUGAUUAAGGAAGCCAUACAUACUAUAUACGCUUGCUUAUUUCAUUUACACAACCAUAUUCCUCUUUUCUCUUAUUUCCUCUUUCAUUGACAAACCAGAAAGUCGAUAAUACAACUAUUAUACGUAACAAACAUCGCUAACCGAACAUUAUCUAUCGUGGUUUAAAUUUACGAUUAAAUACAGAUUUAAAUAUGUUCACUCGUUCGUUAUGCAAACUAAUAAAGUUAAGUAAUAAAAUGGAUUUAUCAUAAAUUUCUCUCGUAUUCCUAGAGUAGAUUCAAUACCUUGUUUCGCGUUUCGAAACGAUUAAUAUAUAUGUCGGAGAUGGAAAGACACCUAAUACUGUAAUUUGGAUUCUGCCAUAGCCGUAGUUAAGCAAUCACCGUCUUUCAGCUCGAUUGUAAUUGUCUGAAAUCUAUGAGAGUGAGUUUGGGUUCGAGGUGACAAUCAGUGGCCGAACGUAGCCGCGGUCAAGGGACGAACGUUUUAUCUAACAAAGUUAUGGAGAGAGUCUAUAGCCCUCCAUAAAAAGAAAUAGUUGUAGCGGCACUCGACAGUAAACAUUCUAACGGUUUCUAUCCCGUGGCCCGUCAUACGCAGACCCUAUUCUUUGGGUAGGUUGAUUGCCGGAUGUCGAGGCAUAUCCGCAAUAUAUGUUCAGCCAGCCUGAUGACCCGUUAUAAACCUUAAGCUUUAGUUAACAAAAAUAGGCAAACAGUUUUUUCUGCGAACGACGCUUCCGGAGACUGACCAAUUAACAGUAACGACAAUUUCCCUCACCCUCCGAACGAAGACUUUUCUCCACGAAUAUAAAGACCUGGUGCCGCGACUGCGGAUAUAGUUUUUCCUGGACAGUGUCACCGUGACGGAGGGAGAGUCUUGAGUACGAUCUCAUCAACAAUGGAGGUAUCAUUCCGACAGAGUGCUUACUCCAUGUGCUAACUGUGAGUAUAACCUAGACGUUGUCGAAGAGUAAAGAGUAAAGAGUCCCGUUGACCGCGGAUUCGUUAUCGAACCUAAGACUAUUGUCAUUAGUGUCGCGAGUGUCUAACCGCCGCAGUUAUUUGUCAAAUCUAUCGUCUCCAUACUUGUGCCAAUAAACUCUGCAUCGUACCAUAACAAUUGCUAAUACUGGUGAAGAUUCGUUAAACGCCCGCACCUCCAAUCCUACUGUGAACCCGACAUAUAAAAUGGCGUAAUAAUUAUUGAUUGUUAGAAUGAUCCAAUUGUAUCUCGUAUUUGAUCAUGAAUUUCCCUACUUUAUAAAAUGAAAUGUAACAAUGUAUUAAAUCUGGUCAGAAAGUAAAUCGCAGAGUCAAAAAUAUCGGCAAGACGAACGACGAAUUAUUUCGUUUGCUUUUAUGAGUGGAUUGGAGAUUACUUAGGGCGAAUCCUAGCAUUGUCGCGUUGUCGUCCCUUUAUGCGACCAUCAUGCUGUCCUUGGAAUUUGUUGCGCCGUGCUGAUGCCAUUUUUUCCUAAUCACUAGUCGGUUGAGAUAUUCUUUAUCCCAUCUGCUCCACCGGUGCAGUCUCAGUAGUCGUAUCUUUUGCCAUACGGACAAAAAUCGCCUCAAUUGCUGUCAGGUUAGUGGUUAAUUUUUCGUAUGCGAAUGAUGUGUUUUCUACAAUCAAAAUCCUGAACAAUGCUUAUUUGAGUACUUACGAGGUAAGUUAGUAGGAAAGUUAUUUGGAAAGAUAUUUCACAGAAUAUAAUUAUUGAGAUAUGUGUAAUUUUGUGUGCUACGCUGUAUUAGCCGCGUAGUAGUGACAUACAUAUAUGAGUAUGAUUGUGUGGGAGUAUGUGCGUGUGCAGUGUCUCGUAGAACAUAAGAAUGGUGAAAAAGAUGGUGAGACAGAAGGAGUGAUGAAACAUGUGCAAUGUGUAUUUACGAAUAUCUUGUAAAUCACAUAUUAAAUAAAUAUGAAACUAUUUUAAUAUUAUUUUUACGUGUAAUGUGAGUGUUGCUAUAUGUUUCUUUCGGCAACUAAGAUCCACAAUUCUCAACAAUAAUAAGACUAUUAAACUGUUAUAAAAAUAAUAUAGAAACAUGGUUUAUUAAAAAAAAUUAUUUGCAAUAUAAUGCUUUGUCCAUGUUGAAGUAUUUACUUCUAGAAAAACUCUACAUCUUUUUCUUUUGUAUACUCGUGAUCUGGACACCGCUGUUACGAUGAAAAUAGAACUUAGUGAAGCAAAAAAGUUAACGAAAAGGAGAGGUCCAUAUUAUUGUGUCCUUGAAUAUGAAUGUUGUUUUUGGGUCACAAGGUCUAAAAACAAAAGAGCUAUAAGUAGACUUUUAUUGCUGUUUCUUGUAACUUUCAGCUGGAGUUACACGCCAAGGUUAAUUUUUUGGUAAUGUCUUUUACUGUCCAUGUAUCCACCUGCUCCCUAUACAUUCUAUUAUACAGCAACACUGCUAGAGUGAGGAUCUGGAUCAGUAUAUACCAUACCUAUACUUACUUCAAUAUAUAUUUCUAUUAUAAAUUUAUCCACGCGUUCCUCUAUCAGAUAAUUUCAACAGUCCAACAGUUCAACAAGCACUUUUUCGGAUGACAAUAUUACGAUAUCUACGUUAAACAGAAGAUUUCAUUACAUUAUCAGUCAGCCCUAAUAAUUUCAUAACUAAUAAUUCCCUAAAUUCUCUGAUAUUUGUAUCCUUCUUUGUUGUAAUCUUGUAAACUAUUAAAGCGUCUACGACUGUAAUUUCCAAAAGAAGCUGAAUGCCAAAUUUCCGGUACCGUUUGAGUUCUUUUCUAAUUGUAGUGGCAUAAGAAAAUAUUUGAUCCGAAUAAUCUAUACCACACUUUAUUGUAUGUAAGGACAGCUAGUGGUUUCAAUUUUCCAGAUGACUGUUGGCUUGUAGAAGCAGCAUGAAUGUUACGAAUAUUUCUUGUAGUUAAUACCUUGAUGGGAGUGUACUUUGCUGAUAAAUCUCACGAAUUUCCUCAUUUGAGUACGACGGUAUCAUUCAUAGUGGUUUUGGCAAAAGUACCGUUACGCAGCGGUACGACGUAGCCAUACCAUAUUUUGUAUUGGAUUUGCAUUUUUAACAUUACAGUUUAUAAUUUAAUUUAAGCUACUCAAAAACUGUACUUUUAUACGAUAUUGUCUUUUCUCUUUUUUCCUGUCUUGAAAACUGAAUCGCAAAACACGACAGAUCGAUAGCCUACUUUUAGUUGCGUGGGGCUGUGGAAACAGUGGACGUUGGAUAGUGGGGGGAAGGGAGCAUGCCACGAAAUGAUUUUUGCACAGUGAUCGCGUAUAGGUACCGCCUAUAGACUCGAAGCGUAGCCAAUCACUCCGCAAUACUAAUCCGUCGUCGUCAGUAUAUAAGCGGUCGCCGUAAAGUUUGAUAACGUUCAUUCGACAUUUGUAUCCGAGACAAGUAGAGUGCGCGUUGUACAAGAAUUUAUUGAAGUUUUUAAUUUUUUCUCUAGAAAAUCAACGUAUUAAAUUUCUAUAAAAAGAGAUUGAUUUAACGUGGAUAGAUAUCUUAUACAUAAGAUAUUCGUACACGUAUUAGCUUUGUGUAAAUAAUUGUAACCUAAAAAUUUGUUCAAUAAUAGAUAGGGUAAUGCAGUAACCGGACAGGAAGUUAUUUACAUGUAAAGGAAUUAAUUGCAACCGGAAGUGUAUUAUUACUUUACCAGACGGUUGCCAUGUACAAUCCGAACUUUCUAAGUGGCUUCCUGAGGAAAAUGUUCUGCAAUUAAAUACUCCCACUGAUGCUUUCAAUGUUUCACGACGUGUUGGUACUCAAAAGCAAAGAACUGUAUCAUAUAGAGACAAGAGAGCUCAUUUGUUAGCAGAAGAAAUAAAAUUUAAAUGUAAUGAUGUAAUAAUUAUCUAUACUAAUUAAAAGAUAAGUAUAUAUCCAAAUUUGAUUUCAUUUAGAACUCCACAGAGCUUGAAAUUUUUAUGAUCUCAGGAUAUCUUAGGAACGUACCAUUAAUGGUCUAGUUCACAUACUUGAAUUGGGAAAUUUUCAAAUGUCUCAAAUUGAUGCACCUGAAGAUCCAUAUCCAGUGGAGAAAAAGUUGAGAAAACAUUGUAAUGCAAUGGACGAUGAAUCAUCCAUGCGGAUUCUUGCACGCGCAGAUCCAGGGAAACAAGCACAGGAACAAUCCCCCUUUUCUAGCAAUCAUGAGUAAAUUCAAGAGAUAUAAUAAGAUAUUGGACAAAAUGUCAACAUCAAUGAAGAUUAUUCUGAGGAUACCUCCGAAGCAGAUCAGUAUGAAUUAUGCCAAAGCGAAGCUGACAGUGAAAGCUUUGAAUACAUUGAAAGUGGAAAGAUAGAAUGAUCUUCGGAUAGUGAAGAGGAACACUUCUUGAAAGUGUGUCGUAACAAGAAAAGGAUGCGUAUUCUUUUUAGUUCUGACUCCGAAGAUGAAAGGACGAGCAUUCCAAGUAUAUCCCAAAAUGUAAUAGGUGAAAUUGAAAUUGCAAUUGACGGAACAUAGUGCAUAAAACUGAAAGCAGGAGAAUCUAGGGAUAGAACGCCCGUUCGUAUGAUAUUCAAGGAUAUCGCAGGACCUACUGGCUAUGCAAAGAGAAAUAUUAUGUCGGGUUAUGUAACUAGUGCUUUCGAAUCUAUAAUUGACAGACACAUAAUGGAACACGGAAAUGAUUGCACUGAAGCCGAGGCGCAUCGAGUUUUGAAAAAGGACUGGACAAUCACAGUUGCUGAGUUGCGUAAUUUUCUAGGAAUUCUAUAUACCCGGGGCGCAUAUGAAGCGAGAUCAUUG